rnacentral:lncRNA from 1 species
AAGAAGAGUUCCGUUUUGUGGGAACUGAGGUAAAUACCUCGUCUGGUGUAGUGUCAACAACCCAGGUUGAAAGGAUGCCGAGAAAGGAAUUAGAUCAAAGAUUUCUAGUGGCGAUGACCGAUAUUAAACAAGAUAAGUUGUCAAUUGAGGAUGUUCCAAUAGUUCGACAUUAUAAAGACGUUUUUCCAGAAGACCUUCUAGGUGUACCAC